rnacentral:rRNA from 1 species
AUUGAACGCUGGCGGCAGGCUUAACACAUGCAAGUCGAGCGGGGUGAUGGUGCUUGCACUAUCACUUAGCGGCGGACGGGUGAGUAAUGCUUAGGAAUCUGCCUAUUAGUGGGGGACAACAUCUCGAAAGGGAUGCUAAUACCGCAUACGUCCUACGGGAGAAAGCAGGGGAUCACUUGUGACCUUGCGCUAAUAGAUGAGCCUAAGUCGGAUUAGCUAGUUGGUGGGGUAAAGGCCUACCAAGGCGACGAUCUGUAGCGGGUCUGAGAGGAUGAUCCGCCACACUGGGAUUGAGAAACGGCACAGGCUCCUACGGGAGGCAGUAGUGUGGAAUAUUGGACAGUUGGGGGAACCCUGAUCCAGCCAUGCCGCGUGUGGGAAGAAGGCCUUAUGGUUGUAAAGCACUUUAAGCGAGGAGGAGGCUCUUUUGGUUAAUACCCAAGAUGAGUGGACGUUACUCGCAGAAUAAGCACCGGCUAACUCUGUGCCAGCAGCCGCCGUAA